rnacentral:rRNA from 1 species
AUGAACUUAGUCCUCAUAGUAUUUGCAUAUCCAUGUUGUAGAUCAAUGGCCCGAGCUGCUGUUCCCCUGAAUUUUAAUGCGUUCCUAGAGAAAGCUAAGUUGAAAGAUGAUGAUAGAAACUACACGGGUUGGGUCCGUAACUUGAGGACUAUCCUCAUUGCUGCACACAAGAAUUAUGUCAUUGAUGCACCGCUAGGUGAAAGGCCUGCUGCAGGAGCAGAAGCUGAUGUUUUGAACGUCUGGCAAGCUCGAUCUGAUGACUACUCGAUAGUUCAGUGUGCCAUGCUUUACGGCUUAGAACCAGGACUUCAAAGACGUUUUGAACGUCAUGGAGCAUAUGAGAUGUUCCAAGAGUUGAAGUUAAUAUUUCAAGCAAAUGCCUGGGUUGAGGGAUAUGAAGCCUCCAACAAGUUCUAUAGCUGCAAGAUGGAGGAGAACAGUUCUAUCAGUGAACACAUACUCAAAAUGUCUGGGUAUUAUAAUCACUUGACUCAUCUGGGAGUUGAUCUUCCAGUUGAUUGUGUCAUUGACAGAGUUCUUCACUCAGUGCCACCAAGCUACAAAGGCUUCGUGAUGAACUAUAAUAUGCAAGGGAUGAACAAAACAAUUCCCGAGCUCUUCGCAAUGCUUAAGGCCGCGGAGGUAGAAAUCAAGAAGGAGCAUCAAGUGUAG